GAACACUGAAAUUUAUGAAACACACUUCCCUGCUGUAUUUGAUGUACUUCCACUGAUGCGACCCCAGCACUGUGUGUGUGUGUGAAGAAGAAGGCUGCCAGUGUCCUCCAGUAAAAUCCACUGCCCAUUACCAAGUUUUACUGAUGAAGGAGAGUUUAUGUCUUAGAUAUAAGAGAGAUGGACAACGUAAAGUCAACCUUGGGUUUAUCACUAGAAUCUACACUGGGAAAACGGAAGUUUUCUUAAGUGAGGAAUCUGCCCUUCUCUGACUCCCUGCCUUCCUCUUUUCUGCUGGAAUGCAGCGUACUUCAGAAAGCUGGAAUGUCAUCAGACAAACUGAGACCUAGAAAGCAGAAGCUGCAAGCUGAAGUUCAUGGUGAAAGCACACAGGAGUCUGGAUCCCCAAGUAUUUCCUGAAGCUGCCCCACACAUUCUGGGUUACCUCUCUCCAGACUUACUUCAUACAAAAAAGAAGUAAGUUUCUAUUUUGGCCAUUUUGCAUUUGAUUUCCUAAAAUUACAGAUGACAUAGUUCUAAAUUUAAAAAAAUAAUAAUAAAUCUAAGAAAUAAUUUAAAAAGAGAAAUAAAAUGCAAAUGGCAGCAAAAUAUUAUCUGCCUAUUAUAUUGCCCAUAGGGCAAUGGAACCUAAUUUUUAAGAAAAUUGGUUACUGUUUUCAUUAUUUUUUUCUUUGAAUUAUUUCCUAGAUAUGUCCAUAAUGAAUAGUUUCACUGGAUGUAUCAGGCUUCUUCUGUCCUUCAAAAGAGAAAAGAAAAUAAAAACCCACAACAUUUUAUAAUUGGAGUGAGCAUCAAGACAUUUUAACCUAAC